CGCAAUGCCCGAAAGGGUGACGAAGCGACGCCGCGUGUGGGAAGAAGGCCUUCGGGUUGUAAACCACUGUCGGGAGUUAAGAAAUGUAAGGAUGUUAAUAGUAUUCUUACUUGACUAAGGCUCCGGAGGAAGCCACGGCUAACUCUGUGCCAGCAGCCGCGGUAAUACAGAGGCGGCAAGCGUUGUUCGGAAUUAUUGGGCGUAAAGAGCAUGUAGGCGGCUAUGUAAGUCGGUUGUGAAAGCCUUCCGCUUAACGGAAGAAUGGCGGCCGAAACUGCAUAGCUUGAGUGCGGUAGGGGAGAGUGGAACUUCUGGUGGAGCGGUGAAAUGCGUAGAUAUCAGAAGGAACGCCGGCGGCGAAAGCGACUCUCCGGACCGUAACUGACGCUGAGUGUGCGAAAGCUAGGGGAGCAAACGGGAUUAGAUACCCCGGUAGUCCUAGCCGUAAACGAUGGGCACUAAGUAGAGGGGUUUU
rnacentral:rRNA from 1 species